UACGUAGGGUGCAAGCGUUGUCCGGAAUUAUUGGGCGUAAAGAGCUCGUAGGCGGUCUGUCGCGUCGGCUGUGAAAACCCGGGGCUCAACCCCGGGCCUGCAGUCGAUACGGGCAGACUAGAGUGCGGUAGGGGAGACUGGAAUUCCUGGUGUAGCGGUGAAAUGCGCAGAUAUCGGGAGGAACACCGGUGGCGAAGGCGGUUCUCUGGGCCUUACCUGACACUGAGGAGCGAAAGCGUGGGGAGCGAACAGG
rnacentral:rRNA from 1 species